CCUACGGGUGGCAGCAGUGGGGAAUAUUGCGCAAUGGGCGAAAGCCUGACGCAGCGACGCCGCGUGAGGGAUGAAGGUCUUCGGAUCGUAAACCUCUGUCAGCAGGGAAGAACGGUCAGUGUGCUAAUCAGCAGUGAAUUGACGGUACCUGCAAAGGAAGCACCGGCUAACUCCGUGCCAGAAGCCGCGGUAAUACGGAGGGUGCGAGCGUUAAUCGGAAUUACUGGGCGUAAAGCGUUCGUAGGCGGUAUGUCAAGUCAAGGGUGAAAUCCCCGCGCUCAACGUGGGAACUGCCUUUGAAACUGGCAGGCUGGAGUGUGUGAGAGGAAAGUGGAAUUCGAGGUGUAGGAGUGAAAUGCGUAGAGAUCUGGAGGAACACCGGUGGCGAAGGCGACUAUCUGGCACAUGACUGACGCUGAGGAGCGAAAGCGUGGGGAGCAAACAGGAUUAGAUACCCUGGUAGUC
rnacentral:rRNA from 1 species